rnacentral:rRNA from 1 species
UACGUAGGGUGCGAGCGUUAAUCGGAAUUACUGGGCGUAAAGCGUGCGCAGGCGGGCUUUUAAGCCAGACGUGAAAUCCCCGGGCUUAACCUGGGAAUGGCGUUUGGGACUGGGAGUCUGGAGUGCGGCAGAGGAGACUGGAAUUCCUGGUGUAGCAGUGAAAUGCGUAGAUAUCAGGAGGAACACCGAUGGCGAAGGCAGGUCUCUGGGCUGACACUGACGCUCAUGCACGAAAGCGUGGGGAGCAACAGG